rfam:Myotis lucifugus cont2.29967, whole genome shotgun sequence.
GAGACACCCUUCUGGGGCAAGACUUGCUUCAGUGGGGCUUUGGUGCUCACUGAGUCUGCCCCCUGAGUGUGUCACU